UAAACACUGUAGACUGAAGGUCCUACAAUGUAUCCCUCUUCUUUCAGUGUAUUAUCAACUGUUUUGAAGUUUCAUAAUUAUACAUCCAAUUUUAGAAAGUGACAAAGAUUUAAAGAAGGAACUGC